rnacentral:rRNA from 1 species
CUACGGGUGGCAGCAGUGGGGAAUAUUGCACAAUGGGCGCAAGCCUGAUACAGCCAUGCCGCGUGUAUGAAGAAGGCCUUCGGGUUGUAAAGUACUUUCAGCGGGGAGGAAGGGAGUAAAGUUAAUACCUUUGCUCAUUGACGUUACCCGCAGAAGAAGCACCGGCUAACUCCGUGCCAGCAGCCGCGGUAAUACGGAGGGUGCAAGCGUUAAUCGGAAUUACUGGGCGUAAAGCGCACGCAGGCGGUUUGUUAAGUCAGAUGUGAAAUCCCCGGGCUCAACCUGGGAACUGCAUCUGAUACUGGCAAGCUUGAGUCUCGUAGAGGGGGGUAGAAUUCCAGGUGUAGCGGUGAAAUGCGUAGAGAUCUGGAGGAAUACCGGUGGCGAAGGCGGCCCCCUGGACGAAGACUGACGCUCAGGUGCGAAAGCGUGGGGAGCAAACAGGAUUAGAUACCCCGGUAGUC